CCUGCAAUCCUCUAAGAGUAUCAAAACGUAAUACAUGUAUGAAAGAUGUACUUAGUAUGUAAAACAGAUAAUGUAAGUAAAUCGAAGACAUAUCAUAGGAGAUAAGAAUACACAAGUUUAAUCAGGAUACCGUAGACAAGCCACCGAGGGCGUACACUGCUAUAACCAUAAAUCAUGAAUGUAUGAAAACUUUUGUAAAAAUUCAGCCACUCUUUGGGGCAUAUCAUCUUAUUUCACUCCAACCCGGCCUCAUAAAAGACUCGUCGUACCCGACCUCAGGAGGUUUUGGUUGUACCUGAUCUCAACAGAACUCGGCGUAGCAGGCCUCAAGAGGACUCAGUAGCCUCACAUUACACUUCAUCGUACCCGGCUACAUAAGUGCUCGGUAAUGUCUCAUAUCAUGUCUCAUCAUACCCAGCCGAUCAGUAGUUGUACAAUAUGUGUUGUACCCGGCUGACUAAAGUGCGGCUUGGUAAAGUAAAAUAGAUACAUAUUUGUAUAAGUGCAAUGCAGAGGCAAUUUCAAGGAAAUAUCAAGAUUAAAUUCAGAAGAAAAUCAUAUUUUCCGAACUCAAGUUACUAUCUGAAAACACCUCAAACUGGAAAGGAGGCCACCGGUAAGAACAAUGUACAAGAACAGAAACAACACUAUAGUGGAGCCCUUGAAUCAAGACAAUAUCACAACAGAGAAAUCCUUGAAGAAAAGAGGGGCGCUUGUCACACCCUUUUUUACCCCUCCAAAGGAUAAUGAACGUUAUUGAUUGUGGGUUAAAGAGUUUUUCCAAUUAAAGUGACAAACUUGAGUAGGGAUUAUUUUAUUUAUAGAGUCGCCACUUGGAAUAUAUUUGCAGGUGUUCCAAGUCACCUUUUAUUUGAAUCCCUAGUCAAAGGAAGAUUUGACUCUAUUUUUUAUCGGUCUGCGAAAUAAAGUUCGGGUAAUAAAUUCUGUUGACCGGGGAGAAGGUGUAAGGCAUUCCCCGAGUCCCGUGGUUAUAGUACGGUCACUUUAUUGGCUAUAUUUGGCUUAAAUUGAUUUUGGAUAAAACUGCAAUGUAUUUGAUUUUUAUGCUUUUCAUAUGUCCGCUUUUAUUUAUUAAAAAAAUAAAGAAAAGAUUUCAAUAAUAUUGAAUUGUCCUAACCGCAGCACGCUAGCGAAUGCAUGAUCGAAACAAAAUUUACUAAUUUUGUAAUAACCAUCCUACACGAGCGAAUCCACAAUUGUGACAAAAGAUUAUUAGCACGUCAUUACUCUUGGAAAAAUAUCUACAUUUUAUAUUGUUUUAUUAUGGACAAUACGCCAGCCAAAAUAAAUUCAUUUGGCCAAAGCCUAUUUCUCGUAACCCUGUUUAAGAACUAACAUGAGAGAUAGGCUAAAAUAUAAGCAAAUAAUUAACUAAAGGUAUAAUAUUAAAUACUAAUAGAAUAAACUAGGAUAAAAAAUUAUUUAAAAUUCCUAAGGCCCACUAAUGUUACAAUUAGCCUAAACCCACAAUCUUUUACUUUUUGUCAAAAAAACACAUGGCUCAUUAUUCAGUCAGCUAUUUCCUUCCCCAAUAUUCUUAACAGAAUUAAUUCUACUCAUGACAUUAACAGAAGAAAAGUAAAACACAUGGACAAACAUUCAUGAAUGAUAAAUAAAUUAAUAGAACGACCAAGGAACUUCAAUAAAAGUGGUAAGUGUGAACCUUUACAUUCGGCGAAUAAGCCUCUUCAAUAGAACCAAACAUGAAGCUCCAACAUCAUCAAAGAUAUACGAAAACCCAAAGCUACAACCCGAAUAAAGAACCUGAACAAGACCUGUGACAGGAGACUGCAUCGGAACCUCGAAACUCAGCAGUAGAGAAACACAACAAAAAGAUGAGUGAUUUGCGAUGUUGAUUGGGGACUAUUUUGCUGAAGCUUUUGGGGGUUGAUUUAUGGUGGUUUUUGGAGGAGGCUUCAAGGCGUUUAAAGGUAUUUGAGAUGGUGGGAGAAGAUGGCUGGUUUUUAUGCGUUUUGCAGCUGAUUUUUGGCUGGAUUUAAGGGGGGCGUUUUGAGGUGGAAAAGAUCUAAUAUCUGUGAAGAAGAAAUCCUCCUUGUUCCAUCGUGUUAAGCUCUCUCCUCUUAUGAAGUUUUUAGAGGUGCUUUUUAUGGUAGAAAAAUGGAUGUUUUUCAAUGGUCAAAACAAAAAGAGAAGAUGGGAUCCCCCUUUUUUAGUCCUAUUUGUGAGGGCCCGUUCUUUUAUUUUUU
rnacentral:lncRNA from 1 species